GCAGUCGAGCGAACAGAUAGGAGCUUGCUCCUUUGACGUUAGCGGCGGACGGGUGAGUAACACGUGGAUAACCUACCUAUAAGACUGGGAUAACUUCGGGAAACCGGAGCUAAUACCGGAUAACAUAUUGAACCGCAUGGUUCAAUAGUGAAAGGCGGCUUUGCUGUCACUUAUAGAUGGAUCCGCGCCGUAUUAGCUAGUUGGUAAGGUAACGGCUUACCAAGGCAACGAUACGUAGCCGACCUGAGAGGGUGAUCGGCCACACUGGAACUGAGACACGGUCCAGACUCCUACGGGAGGCAGCAGUAGGGAAUCUUCCGCAAUGGGCGAAAGCCUGACGGAGCAACGCCGCGUGAGUGAUGAAGGUCUUCGGAUCGUAAAACUCUGUUAUCAGGGAAGAACAAAUGUGUAAGUAACUGUGCACAUCUUGACGGUACCUGAUCAGAAAGCCACGGCUAACUACGUGCCAGCAGCCGCGGUAAUACGUAGGUGGCAAGCGUUAUCCGGAAUUAUUGGGCGUAAAGCGCGCGUAGGCGGUUUUUUAAGUCUGAUGUGAAAGCCCACGGCUCAACCGUGGAGGGUCAUUGGAAACUGGAAAACUUGAGUGCAGAAGAGGAAAGUGGAAUUCCAUGUGUAGCGGUGAAAUGCGCAGAGAUAUGGAGGAACACCAGUGGCGAAGGCGACUUUCUGGUCUGUAACUGACGCUGAUGUGCGAAAGCGUGGGGAUCAAACAGGAUUAGAUACCCUGGUAGUCCACGCCGUAAACGAUGAGUGCUAAGUGUUAAGGGGGUUUCCGCCCCUUAGUGCU
rnacentral:rRNA from 1 species